rnacentral:rRNA from 1 species
UACGUAGGGUGCAAGCGUUAAUCGGAAUUACUGGGCGUAAAGCGCACGUAGGCGGCUUUGCAAGUUAGAGGUGAAAGCCCGGGGCUCAACUUCCGGAAUUGCCUUUAAAACUGCAUCGCUAGAAUUGUGGAGAGGUAAGUGGAAGUUCCGAGUGUAGAGGUGAAAUUCGUAGAUAUUCGGAAGAACACCAGUGGCGAAGGCGACUUACUGGACACAUAUUGACGCUGAGGUGCGAAAGCGUGGGGAGCAAACAGG